CCAGCCCCACACUCACUCUCAAUGUAUCCAUGCAGCGUCACCAUACGGGCCCUCUCCGGGCUGCUGAAGGGCGAGUAGUGGAUGUCCUCGGAAAACUGGGAGUGAAAUCCUUCCACAAUCACAGCAUGGAGCAGUGCCCCGAGGCCACGCAACGGCCACAGCGAGGAAACAGCCACAAGCAUUUGACAAAUCGCUUCCUGCUCAAAUCACCUUCACAAAACAGCCCAUAAAGAGUCGCCCUGCACGUGGGCUACUUGA